rnacentral:rRNA from 1 species
GAAUUUUAUAUAUAUUUUUAUAUUAAAAUUUAUUAUUAAUUAGUUUAUUAUAAAAAUUUAUAUUUAGUUGGGAGGAUUAUUAAAUUUUAAAAACUUUAAUUAUUAAAAUCAUUAAUUAGUGAAUAGUAAAUAGAGUGAUUAUUAAAUUGAAGUAGAAUUAAUUACCUUAGGGAUAACAGCGUAAUAUUUUUUGAGAGAUCAUAUUGAAAAAAGUGUUUGC